AAAAAAAGCAUCAUGACUUCCUCCGGAGUAAAGGAGGCAUCCAGAAUCAAAGUGGAAAUGUUUUGCCGUUUCAAGAGCCGAGCACCGACUUUACCGGGGGAGUAUUAGUCUUGGUCGAUGUCGGUGUUUGUGCGCACUUUGUCACAAAGUCACUGGGUGUGCGCGGACUAUCCUGUUUGUUUUCUUUGAAUGUUUUUACCUAAUUUAUUUGAGUGUAGUGAGACGCUCGUGUCACGUCUUGAAGGCUGACUUUAUUUUGUCGCUUCCCCAGGAUGAAGAGGGUUUGGAAUGAGCGAUCGGAAACGGUUGAGGGUGACUGAACCCGUACUCUGUCGCGGGAUCAACAUCUCGGUUGAGGAUGAGGCGCAACAAAGGGGCUGCAGCGACAAGAUGAAAAUGUGGUGGGCUUUUUGAGAGUAAAGGUGGAAACGCGGGAUGCGCCGAGCAAGUGGAAAGAGUCCCAAGAUGAGGGUCACGAGUACACACGCGGUACGUUUUGCCAAGCGGGGCGGCGCGCGAGUAAUUUUUUGGAGACGAGCCGACCGGCCGCGCGCGGGUAAGCAGAUCUGCCGGUGAGACAAAGUGAUGGAUGAGUAGUGUUUGUUUGUUGGCGGGAGAGAAGAAGACCUUUGGGACGGGAAGUGGCGAGGAAAAGCAGAACGCUGGGCUCAGUCAGAUUGGUCUUAUUUGACACGCUCUUGAAUAAAGCGGCACACAGAUGGCCCUCUGGAACGAAUGCCGUGAUGUUAUUUGGGUCAUCAAAGGACUUGCGUCCAACUCGAAGCUUAGUUUAGCAGCGUGGAGUGGAUGCCACCAAGAACCAGGGUUGAGAAGAAGCCGGACAAGUUCGACACGAGCCAAGAAUAAAGCGGCGUACAGAUGAGUUGCUAUUUUUUGUUGUUGUUGUUGUUGAAUCAUUGCGGAGGGCAGAUGUAAAUGGGAGCGGGCAGAGCACGGAGCCUUGGCUGAGUGUAGCUCUGGAAGGUAGUUUUGCAAUGAAGGAUGUCGCCGGAGGCGCUCGGUUAUUGAGAUUGAAGGAAGGCGGAGACGGCGUGGAGGUGGUCGGGCUAGUCUUUGUUUAGAAUUGGAGUUGCGAAGAGCGUUAGAGGAGUCGGCAGUUGAAUCUUUGAAGCUGACUCGACGGGUACUCUGUUCCAAGAGCAAGGAUUAGUUUGUUUGUCGAGGUGAGCGUCCAGUUUAUUUCCACGACAUGUGUGAAAGUGCGGUCAGGAUUAGUGAUAUAUUUAGUAUUUCUUUUGGCAGGCGUCCAGAGCAGAGGUGCAAGCGCUCUGCCGUUGGAACAGCUAAGUACCAAUUUUUGUGGGCGUGGGCGUUUGUGCGCACUUCCUCACCGGGCGGGCACGGGCUCUCCUUUUUUGUUUUGCGUACAUGGCUAAGAGUGACGUCAAGGCGAGAAGGCUGAAACGGGUUACUUAGCUUUUUGUCUCCCCAGGACGAAGUGGCGGUCGCGGGCAAUUGAACGUCGGUCAACAGUCAUUGAGAAGAAAGGUGGCAAGAUGGAGUAGUUUAGCUGCUUCAAGAGCUAAGUACCCACUUUACUCUGAGAGUAAAUCUUUGUAACUUUUGGUGUUUGUGUGCACUUUCUCACCGAGUCACCGGGUGCACACGGAAUGUCCUUUUUUUUUUUUUUUUUGAAUGUUUAUACUGAGAUAUGUAUGAUGUUAAGGCUGCAAAGGGUCACAGUUGUUUUUAUUUUUAAUUUUUUUUUUUUUUAAUUUUUGUCCCCAGGAUGAAGAAGAACAAAAUGGGCAGCAGGGACCAGUCGGGCUUAUUGGAGCGCAUCGGGCGAUAGGCAGCGAGAAGUCCCCCGGCGGCUGAAAACCAAGGGUGGAGAUGAAGUAUCGGGACGUACUCGACGGCCACGGCGCGUCGGCGAGGAGUGAAUGUCGCAGAGGGAAGCGGACGUGCGG